AGAUAUUUGACAUCAAUGGAAUAAUAACAGAAUAAGAAUACAAAGAGACAAGAAAUGUUUGUUCUUUUAUAUCAGCGAAUACCUUUCGGGUUGAACAUUGUUUUUGGACCUUUAGUUUCAUAUUUGGCUAUUCUGAUGAACAUAGUUGUCUGUUGGACACUUACUUCCAGAAAACUUAUAUCAACAUCGACUGUACUCAUGCAGGGAUUAGCACUUGCCGAUGGUCUCACUGCAUUUUUUCUUUAUGGCAUUGAACCUAUUUUCUCGCCAUUUUACAGAUAUGUUACAAGCAAAGUUGUCGAUUUACCACCCCCUUACUGUAUCAUACACUACUGGACCACACCAAUGGCUGAUAGUUUUCAUUUGACGUCUGUACUGCUAACCACGUGUCUAGGUUUACAGAAAAUGAUAGCCAUUGCGUUUCCAAUAUGGACUCGUUCAAACAUGUCGCCAAAGAGAUCUGCAAUAGUAUGCUGCGUAUGUUUCCUUUUUUCACUCUCAAUGCAUCUCCCUCGAGCAUUAUUGGUUCAGUUCGGUGAAGCACAAAAUGAUAUAUGUAAAGUGCUCAAGCCAACAAAAGAGUUAGAAAGUUACGCUCUGACAACUUACCCACUCAUAUACACUGUGUUGUUGGCAUUAGCAGUGGCAGCCAUGUUAACUUCUACUGUCUAUAUAACGUAUAAACUGUGUAAGCGGAAACAACUGAGAGGAA
rnacentral:lncRNA from 1 species